UACGAAGGGGGCUAGCGUUGCUCGGAAUUACUGGGCGUAAAGGGCGCGUAGGCGGCUUUGUAAGUUAGAGGUGAAAGCCCGGGGCUCAACCCCGGAAUUGCCUUUAAGACUGCAUCGCUUGAAUCCAGGAGAGGUGAGUGGAAUUCCGAGUGUAGAGGUGAAAUUCGUAGAUAUUCGGAAGAACACCAGUGGCGAAGGCGGCUCACUGGACUGGUAUUGACGCUGAGGUGCGAAAGCGUGGGGAGCAAACAGG
rnacentral:rRNA from 1 species